CCUACGGGAGGCUGCAGUGGGGAAUAUUGGGCAAUGGGCGCAAGCCUGACCCAGCAACGCCGCGUGAAGGAAGAAGGCUUUCGGGUUGUAAACUUCUUUUCUCAGGGACGAAGCAAGUGACGGUACCUGAGGAAUCAGCCACGGCCAACUACGUGCCAGCCGCCGCGGUAAGACGUAGGUGGCAAGCGUUAUCCGGAUUUACUGGGUGGAAAGGGCGUGUAGGCGGGAGAGCAAGUCAGAUGUGAAAACCAUGGGAUCAACCUUUGGCCUGCAUUUGAAACUGUUUUGCUUGAGUACUGGAGAGGUAGACGGAAUUCCUAGUGUAGCGGUGAAAUGCGUAGAUAUUAGGAGGAACACCAGUGGCGAAGGCGGUCUGCUGGACAGCAACUGACGCUGAGGCGCGAAAGCGUGGGGAGCAAACAGGAUUAGAUACCCUAGUAGUC
rnacentral:rRNA from 1 species